rnacentral:rRNA from 1 species
GAUGCAGCCAUGCCGCGUGUGUGAAGAAGGCCUUCGGGUUGUAAAGCAUUUUCAGUUGUGAGGAAAAGUUAGUAGUUAAUACCUGCUAGCCGUGACGUUAACAACAGAAGAAGCACCGGCUAACUCCGUGCCAGCAGCCGCGGUAAUACGGAGGGUGCGAGCGUUAAUCGGAAUUACUGGGCGUAAAGCGCACGCAGGCGGUUUGUUAAGCUAGAUGUGAAAGCCCCGGGCUCAACCUGGGACGGUCAUUUAAAACUGGCAGACUAGAGUCUUGGAGAGGGGAGUGGAAUUCCAGGUGUAGCGGUGAAAUGCGUAGAUAUCUGGAGGAACAUCAGUGGCGAAGGCGACUCCCUGGCCAAAGACUGACGCUCAUGUGCGAAAGUGUGGGUAGCGAACAGGAUUAGAUACCCUGGUAGUCCACACCGUAAACGCUGUCUACUAUCUGUUUGUGGCUUUAAGCCGUGAGUAGCGAAGCUAACGCGAUAAGUAGACCGCCUGGGGAGUACGGCCGCAAGGUUAAAACUCAAAUGAAUUGACGGGGGCCCGCACAAGCGGUGGAGCGUGUGGUUUAAUUCGAUGCAACGC